ACGCUGGCGGCGUGCCUAAUACAUGCAAGUCGAACGGCUUUUCUAUGGAAGCUUGCUUCCACUGAGAAGAUAGUGGCGAACGGGUGAGUAACACGUGGGUAACCUGCCCAUAAGAGGGGGGAUAACAUCCGGAAACGGGUGCUAAUACCGCAUAGUUUUCUUGAUCGCAUGAUCGGGAAAGGAAAGACGGCCUUUGUGCUGUCGCUUAUGGAUGGACCCGCGGCGUAUUAGUUAGUUGGUGAGGUAACGGCUCACCAAGACGAUGAUACGUAGCCGACCUGAGAGGGUGAUCGGCCACAUUGGGACUGAGACACGGCCCAAACUCCUACGGGAGGCAGCAGUAGGGAAUCUUCCGCAAUGGACGAAAGUCUGACGGAGCAACGCCGCGUGAGUGAAGAAAGGUUUUCGGAUCGUAAAACUCUGUUGUCAGAGAAGAACAAGUUGGAGAGUAACUGCUCCAGCCUUGACGGUAUCUGACCAGAAAGCCACGGCUAACUACGUGCCAGCAGCCGC
rnacentral:rRNA from 1 species